rnacentral:rRNA from 1 species
CCUACGGGCGGCAGCAGUGAGGAAUAUUGGUCAAUGGACGAGAGUCUGAACCAGCCAAGUAGCGUGAAGGAUGACUGCCCUAUGGGUUGUAAACUUCUUUUAUAUGGGAAUAAAACAGGGUAUGCAUACACUCUUGUAUGUACCAUAUGAAUAAGGAUCGGCUAACUCCGUGCCAGCCGCCGUGGUAAUACGGAGGAUCCGAGAGUUAUCCGGAUGUAUUGGGUUUAAAGGGAGCGUAGGUGGAUUGUUAAGUCAGUUGCGAAAGUUUGCGGCUCAACCGUAAAAUUGCAGUUGAAACUGGCAGUCUUGAGUACAGUAGAGGUGGGCGGAAUUCGUGGUGUAGCGGUGAAAUGCUUAGAUAUCACGAAGAACUCCGAUUGCGAAGGCAGCUCACUGGACUGCAACUGACACUGAUGCUCGAAAGUGUGGGUAUCAAACAGGAUUAGAUACCCCAGUAGUC